UCCUUGGUGGUCUAGUGGUUAGGAUUCAGCACUUUCAGUGCUGCAGCAUGGGUUCAAUCCCUGGUCUGGGAA
rnacentral:tRNA from 1 species